UACGAAGGGGGCUAGCGUUGCUCGGAAUGACUGGGCGUAAAGGGCGCGUAGGCGGAUGGCACAGUCAGAUGUGAAAUUCCCGGGCUUAACCUGGGGGCUGCAUUUGAUACGUGUGAUCUAGAGUGAGGAAGAGGGUCGUGGAAUUCCCAGUGUAGAGGUGAAAUUCGUAGAUAUUGGGAAGAACACCGGUGGCGAAGGCGGCGACCUGGUCCUUGACUGACGCUGAGGCGCGAAAGCGUGGGUAGCGAACAGG
rnacentral:rRNA from 1 species